GACGAACGCUGGCGGCGCGCUUAACACAUGCAAGUCGAGCGAUGAAAUCUUAACAGAACCCUUCGGGGUGAAGAUAAGACGGAUUAGCGGCGGACGGGUGAGUAACACGUGAGUAACCUGCCUUUUACACAGGGAUAGCCUCAGGAAACCGGGAUUAAAACCUGAUGAAACUAUCAAAUCACAUGAUUAAGAAAGUUAAAACUCCGGUGGUAAAAGAUGGACUCGCGUCCCAUUAGCUAGUUGGUGAAGGUAACGGCCCACCAAGGCAACGAUGGGUAGCCGGCCUGAGAGGGUGAACGGCCACAUUGGAACUGAGAAACGGUCCAAACUCCUACGGGAGGCAGCAGUGGGGAAUAUUGCACAAUGGGGGAAACCCUGAUGCAGCGACGCCGCGUGAGCGAAGAAGGCCUUCGGGUCGUAAAGCUCUUUUAUAUGGGAAGAUAAUGACGGUACCGUAAGAAAAAGCCCCGGCUAACUACGUG
rnacentral:rRNA from 1 species